CAGAACGAACGCUGGCUCCGUGCCUAAUACAUGCAAGUCGAGCGGGGGCUUUUGGGAGCUUGCUUCUGGGAGCCCUACCGGCGGACGGGUGAGUAACACGUAGGCAACCUGCCCGCAGGACCGGGAUAACGUAGGGAAACUUACGCUAAUACCGGAUAGGGCACCUUCUCGCAUGACAGGGUGCGGAAAGGUGGCGCAAGCUACCACUUGCGGAUGGGCCUGCGGCGCAUUACCUAGUUGGUGGGGUAACGGCCUACCAAGGCGACGAUGCGUAGCCGACCUGAGAGGGUGACCGGCCACACUGGGACUGAGACACGGCCCAGACUCCUACGGGAGGCAGCAGUGGG
rnacentral:rRNA from 1 species